AAAAAAUUCAACUCCCUCCACAAUCCACAUCCAGUGCCAAACAACACCACAACAAAUCAACAAUGGAGGAAGGGCAAGACUCAUGGACAUCAGCAGACAAGCUAUACCACAUCAUCUUCUGCUUCUCCCUAACACUCCUCUUCUCUCUCCUCAUCUCUCUCACUCAUUCCUCCUUCCUCCGAAAUCGCUCUCUCUUCUUCGCCGCUUCUCUCUCUCUCCUCGCCGGCGCCGCCAAAGAAGCCGCCGAUCACCUCGGCUUCUUCCGCUCCUCCGGCGCCUCCGCCAAAGACGCCGUCGCUGACGUCAUUGGCGUCGUCAUCGCUUGCUUCCUGCUUUCUCUCUCCAAAUUCUUCCAACGGAAGUCCAAAAUUGAUGAUGAUGAUGAUGAUCAGGUUGCCGGUGUUGCGCUUGUUUGAAUCGAGUAUCACUUUCUCAGGUACUGUGGAUGGCAGUUACAUAACCGGCACGGAUCUCAAAUUCUCAAUACAAUGACUUUUGUUCUGCUGAAGAGGAGCAGUUGGCCAUCUUCUUUUAUGAAUUUCCCAUCAUGCAGAGGCAUUCAAAAGUACGGGGUAAAAAGAAAAUUUUGAUGCUUACAGCUCUUGUGUCGGUGGCUACUGCAGUGACAACAAACAUGAGAUUGAAGGCGAUGAUGAA